rnacentral:lncRNA from 13 species
AUCCAGAUUUUUUUGUUGAGUAUUAUUAUGAUAUAGUUUUUAACCUAUCUGUGUAUUUAUAUUUAAAGUGGGAUUCUUAUAAGUAACAUAGAGUUACAUUAAAAAUGGUUUAAAAAAUCAACUCUGAUACUCUCUGAUGGUAAUUGGUAUAUUUAGACUAUUCACAUUAUAAAUUAUUAUUGACUUAACUGGUUUAAUAUCUACCAUAAUAAAGCUGGUUUAAUGUGGCAGAUAUAGCUUGUUUCUAUUUGUUGUUUUGCUCUUUGUUUCUUUUUUUCUCUCCUUUUUUUUUCUGCCUUCUCUGGUUUAAUAAAGCAUUUAAAUGAUUCCAUUUUCUUUAUUUUCCUGCCAUACGAAUUAUAAUUAUUUUUAAAAAUCUUGGUAGCUACAUUAGAGUUCACAAGAUAAAUUUAUAACGAAUCUAAAUCCACUCUCAAAUGCCACAGUACCACUUCACAGGUGGUACAGGUACUUUAUAACAGAGUAGCCCCAAUACUUCCCUUUUUGCUCUCUCAGCAUUGCUGUCAUUCAUUUUAGGUUAUCUAUAUGCUAUAAUCAUCCAGUACACUCACUUUAUUAUUAUCUUGAACAAACAAUUACCUAUGUAGUAACAUAUUUCAAAAUUGUUGCUUUGCCCUCUCUCUUCCUGGAACAUCAGGAGAUUUUGCUCUGUUCUUCACCAUGAGAAUUUGAUGAGUCUCCAGAAGUUCACUCACUCUUAAGCUAGUCCACAUGCAGACCAUAGCAGUUCCUCACCAAUUAAGUGUUCCUCCAAUUUAUGGCUCCAAGUGGCUACUGCUUAAGGGACAUGGAUGAAUCUGGAGAACAUCAUUCUCAGCAAACUGACACAAGAACAGAAAAUGAAACACCGCAUAUUCUCACUCAUAGGUGGGUGAUGAAAAAUGAGAACACAUGGACACAGAGAGGGGAGUACUAAACACUGGGGUCUAUAGGGGGGAAAGGGGAGGG